rnacentral:rRNA from 1 species
UACGUAGGGGGCGAGCGUUGUCCGGAUUUAUUGGGCGUAAAGAGCUCGUAGGCGGCUUGGCAAGUCGGGUGUGAAAACUUCAGGCUCAACCUGGAGCGGCCACUCGAUACUGCCAUGGCUUGAGUCCGGUAGGGGACCACGGAAUUCCUGGUGUAGCGGUGAAAUGCGCAGAUAUCAGGAGGAACACCAGUGGCGAAGGCGGUGGUCUGGGCCGGAACUGACGCUGAGGAGCGAAAGCGUGGGUAGCAAACAGG